UACACAAUUUUGUUCUGAAUUUCAGGGGGUUGAGAUCGGAUUGAUCUUACAAACACACGAAGCUAGACCUACAUAUAAUGGAAGGAAGCAUUGUUCAGGCCACAAGCACAAAUGGUGGCCGCCUACCUCGUCAUCUACCUCGGCGUAGCUUUCACGUCGCUGCUCAUCGUGCUUUCGGGCCGCAGGCGCUGGGCGGCGCGGGGUGAUGGUUGCCACGACCUGCGCCUCCCGCCUGGGCCGUGGCAGCUGCCGGUGAUCGGCAGCCUGCACCACCUCGUCCUGGCCGGGCAGCUCCCUCACCGCGCGAUGCGCGACCUGGCGCGGCGCCACGGGCCGGCCGUGCUGCUCAGGCUCGGCGAGGUUCCCACGGUGGUGGUGUCCUCCCGGGAGGGGGCGCGCGAGGUGCUGAAGACCCACGACAAGGCGUUCGCGACGCGGCCCGUGAGCGCCACCAUGCGCGUGCUCACCAGCGGCGGCCGGGACAUCGUCUUCGCGCCCUACGGGGACUACUGGCGCCAGCUCCGGAAGAUCGCCGUCGUGGAGCUCUUCACCGCGCGCCGCGUCCGCUCCUUCCGCGCCAUCCGCGAGGAGGAGGUCGCCGCAGCGCUCCGCGGCGUCGCCGAGGCCGCGCGCCCCGUGGAGAUGCGCGCGCUGCUGGCCGCGCGCGUGGCGGACAGCACGGUGCGCGCCGUGAUUGGCGACCGGUGCAGGGAGCGCGACGCACUCCUCCGGGAGCUCGACCGCUCCAUGCAGCUCGCGGCGGGGUUCAACCCGGCCGACCUGUGGCCUUCGUGGCGGCUCGCGGCGCGGCUCAGUGGCGCCAAGGAGUGCCACGACACCGUGCACGGCAUCCUGGACGGCAUCAUCAAGGAGCACCUGGAGAGGAUGGAUGGCGGCGAGGACCUGCUUGACGUGCUGCUGAGAAUCCAGAAGGAGGGUGCGCUCCAGUUUCCGCUCGACAUGGACGCCAUCAAAUCCGUCAUCAUGGGACGUGUGUCCUCGUGGUGGACAUAUAUAUCUACAAAAAUGAAAAACGAUCCACACGCGACGCAUCCUCGUGGUGGACAUGUGUCCUCGGGCUCCGUCGUUGCGACGGCGUUUGCUGCCGAGUCAGCGCGGAGCUUGAGAAGUAGUCCAGGAGCGGAUGCAGAUUAUGGUCUACAUCGACGAUAUCUGGAAGACGGAGCAUGUUCUGGGCUCGUGGUUCGUGGAUGAUAGAUAUGGUUUCCUCCUUCGGUGUUUUAGUCGUGGUGGGGUGCCAGAUCUGGAGUUCGAUGGCGUGUCCGGUGUUUUGCCCCGGUCUGACUCGUUCAACGGCAAGGGCUUCACUUUUGGUGAGCCACCUUGGAGGUCCGCAAAGCUGCUUAUCAGCGAUGGGGCCGUGUCGAGCUCGGAUGGGGAGGUGAUUCGUCAUUCUUUUCUUCGGUUGCUGCUGUGGUGGUGCCGGAGGCAGGUGACGGGCGUUGGCAUCAAGCUCAGAGAUGUUCUGCUAUCUUUUCAGUUUUGUCAUAUCGAUCUUUACGUGACUUGUAUUUUGUUCUUUAUAAUAUAAAUAAGACACGUAUUACCAUGAAAAAAACCACACUGUCUAGCGAUAAAAAAUACCAAAUGUGGUACAGAGCCGGACCAAAGAGUAUCAAAAUCAAACAGACUUGGUGAAAAUAGAGAAAGAAACAUUUGGGGAAAUAAAUUAAAGAUGCGCUGCUACGCGUCCGCCGGCCGAUGGACUAAAAUUAUCCGCCGCCUGAACAGCCGUUGGAUCCCUGAGCUGUUAGUCGUCUGAUCUAGUGUGUGUGUCCUGCAUGCCCCCCUCCCCCUCAUUAUUGCCGCAACUUACGCGUUGUUGCAGAAACAAGACAACAAACUUGUCCGUGGACCCGAUAGAGUUGCGCCCAGCGUACCACCGCCGCCAACCUGCCGCCAAAAUCAGCCCGCCACCAGCGUGCAGGAGCUAAGUUGAACUCUCUGCAACACCGUUGCGCAUCAUAUCACGCGUCAGAUGCUUGGAUCAGACGCAAAAUCAAGCUCACCGAGGGGCCCUGCCUGGAGAAUAGGCGCGGCCUCUACUCCAGCAUGACGGCGAUGAGCUCCCACGCCGGGCACUCCUUUGACAAUUUCUACAACUGAAGCUAUGUUUCUGAGACAUGCGUCGUGUGGCAAUGCUUGGCCUUGUAUGCUCUAACAUCAUGCGUUCCUCCAACGCUUUCUGCAACCGGGGCUAUGUUUCUGAAGCAAGACCCAUGUUGCGGAAGAAAAAUAUCUUCGCUACCGAACCAUUUUUUUUUUUGAAACAAGACCUCUGUUGCAAAAACUUUCUAAAACUAGACCCUGUUGCUAAAAAAAAUUCACCACCAGAUCGUGUUUAUUUUUGAAACAAGAUCUCUGUUGAAAAAAAUUGGCUGCAGCGGACUUGUGACCAGCGUGGGCGCUCGAUCAAGACUGAUCCGGUGGCUACGCAGGUGGCGGACGCUGCGCAUGCAUCCGUCAGCUCAAGGAUAGCUUUUUCCUAAAUUAAACUCGUGCAACGGAACAAUUCAGUAGUUUUGCAAAAAAAAGAAACAAUUUUGUACACUAGUAAAUUAAAUCCAUAGAACAGAACAGUUAAGAAAAUCCGGGUUUGCAACGACUUGUACUUGGCGUCAAAUUCGCCAACCUUUCCCCCGAUCGAGAGACAGCGCUGGCCACCGACGCGAGGCUUUUCUCCUCUUCCUUCUUCUGGUGAUUAGGGUUUGUCUCUGCCGGCCGCCGGCGCGCUCCCAGAGAGCCUCUCGGUUCCGCCGCCGCCACCGCUCAUCCAAGGACCACUGGCCCGCUCCCAGAGAGCCUUUCCGCUCCGCCGACGCCACCCCUCACCCCAAGGACCACCGGCUACCUCGCUCCAGAUUCUAUGGCCUGAUUGCGGGACGAGCAGCGCGAGGUGCUGCGCGCGCAGGAGGAGGUCAAGCGGAUUCAGUCCGUGCCGCUCGUCAUCGGCCAGUUCCUCGAGAUGGUCGACGGCAGCAACGGCAUCGUCGGCUCCACCA